CUAGUAGGCGGCUUAGCAAGUCGGGUGUGAAAACUUCAGGCUCAACCUGGAGCGGCCAUCCGAUACUGCUAUGGCUAGAGUCCGGUAGGGGACCACGGAAUUCCUGGUGUAGCGGUGAAAUGCGCAGAUAUCAGGAGGAACACCGGUGGCGAAGGCGGUGGUCUGGGCCGGAACUGACACUGAAUAGCGAAAGCGUGGGUAGCGAACAGGAUUAGAUACCCUGGUAGUCCACGCCGUAAACGUUGGGCACUAGGUGUGGGGAGUUAUCAACGCUCUCCGUGCCGUAGCUAACGCAUUAAGUGCCCCGCCUGGGGAGUACGGCCGCAAGGCUAAA
rnacentral:rRNA from 1 species